rnacentral:rRNA from 1 species
UAAGGAAUAUUGGUCAAUGGACGGAAGUCUGAACCAGCCAUGCCGCGUGCAGGAAGACGGCCCUACGGGUUGUAAACUGCUUUUGUACCGGAAUAAACCUCUUUACGUGUAAGGAGCUGAAUGUACGGUAAGAAUAAGGAUCGGCUAACUCCGUGCCAGCAGCCGCGGUAAUACGGAGGAUCCAAGCGUUAUCCGGAUUUAUUGGGUUUAAAGGGUGCGUAGGCGGCCUGUUAAGUCAGAGGUGAAAGGCGGUAGCUUAACUAUCGGAGUGCCUUUGAUACUGACGGGCUUGAAUGCAGCUGAGGUAGGCGGAAUGUGACAAGUAGCGGUGAAAUGCAUAGAUAUGUCACAGAACACCGAUUGCGAAGGCAGCUUACUAAAGUGCGAUUGACGCUGAGGC